CGGAGGAAAGAAACCAACAGGGAUUGCCCUAGUAACGGCGAGUGAAGCGGCAACAGCUCAAAUUUGAAAUCUGGCCCUUGGGUCCGAAUUGUAAUUUGUAGAGGAUGAUUUUGGUGCGGUACCUUCCGAGUUCCUUGGAACAGGACGCCUUAGAGGGUGAGAGCCCCGUACGGUUGGAUACCUAGCCUCUGUAAAUCUCCUUCGACGAGUCGAGUAGUUUGGGAAUGCUGCUCUAAAUGGGAGGUAAAUUUCUUCUAAAGCUAAAUACUGGCCAGAGACCGAUAGCGCACAAGUAGAGUGAUCGAAAGAUGAAAAGCACUUUGAAAAGAGGGUUAAAUAGCACGUGAAAUUGUUGAAAGGGAAGGAUUUAUGACCAGACUUUUUCUGGGCAGAUCAUCCGGUGUUCUCACCGGUGCACUUUGCCCAGUUUAGGCCAGCAUCGAUUUCCGGAGGGGGAUAAAAGCUUUAGGAAUGUGGCUCCCUCGGGAGUGUUAUAGCCUAUUGUAUAAUACCUUUCUGGGGAUCGAGGUACGCGCUUCUGCAAGGAUGCUGGCGUAAUGGUUAUCAAUCACCCGUCUUGAAACACGGACCAAGGAGUCGAACAUUUGUGCGAGUGUUUGGGUGUUAAACCCUCACGCGUAAUGAAAGUGAACGGAGGUAAGAGCCCUUACGGGUGCAUUAUCGACCGAUCCUGAAGUUUUCGGAUGGAUUUGAGUAGGAGCAUAAAUGUUCGGACCCGAAAGAUGGUGAACUAUGCGUGGAUAGGGUGAAGCCAGAGGAAACUCUGGUGGAGGCUCGCAGCGGUUCUGACGUGCAAAUCGAUCGUCAAAUCUGCGCAUGGGGGCGAAAGACUAAUCGAACAUCUA
rnacentral:rRNA from 1 species